UACAGAGGUCUCAAGCGUUGUUCGGAUUCAUUGGGCGUAAAGGGUGCGUAGGCGGCUUUUUAAGUCAGGGGUGAAAGACGGUAGCUCAACUAUCGCAGUGCCCUUGAUACUGAAGAGCUUGAAUGUACUUGAGGUAGGCGGAAUGUGACAAGUAGCGGUGAAAUGCAUAGAUAUGUCACAGAACACCAAUUGCGAAGGCAGCUUACUAAAGUAUGAUUGACGCUGAGGCACGAAAGCGUGGGGAUCAAACAGG
rnacentral:rRNA from 1 species